AUUGAACGCUGGCGGCAGGCCUAACACAUGCAAGUCGAACGAGUGGCGGACGGGUGAGUAAUGUCUGGGAAACUGCCCGAUGGAGGGGGAUAACUACUGGAAACGGUAGCUAAUACCGCAUACCAUCGGAUGUGCCCAGAUGGGAUUAGCUGGUAGGUGGGGUAACGGCUCACCUAGGCGACGAUCCCUUGCUGGUCUGAGAGGAUGACCAGCCACACUGGAACGGAGAUACGGUCCUGACUCCUACGGGCGGCAGCAGUGGGGAAGAUUGCACAAUGGGCGCAAGGCUGAGGGAGCCAUGCCGCGUGUAUGAAGAAGGCCUUCGGGUUGUAAAGUACUUUCAGUGAGGAGGCGUUACUCGCAGAAGAAGCACCGGCUAACUCCGUGCCAGCAGCCGCGGUAAUUC
rnacentral:rRNA from 1 species